rnacentral:rRNA from 1 species
CUUACCAUGCAAGUCGAACGGUGAUGCAGAGCUUGCUCUGCGGAUCAGUGGCGAACGGGUGAGUAACACGUGAGUAACCUGCCCUCGACUCUGGGAUAAGCGUUGGAAACGACGUCUAAUACCGGAUACGACCCGUGACGGCAUCGUCUGCGGGUGGAAAGAAUUUUGGUUGGGGAUGGACUCGCGGCCUAUCAGCUUGUUGGUGAGGUAAUGGCUCACCAAGGCGACGACGGGUAGCCGGCCUGAGAGGGUGACCGGCCACACUGGGACUGAGACACGGCCCAGACUCCUACGGGAGGCAGCAGUGGGGAAUAUUGCACAAUGGGCGAAAGCCUGAUGCAGCAACGCCGCGUGAGGGACGACGGCCUUCGGGUUGUAAACCUCUUUUGGCAGGGAAGAAGCGAAAGUGACGGUACCUGCAGAAAAAGCACCGGCUAACUACGUGCCAGCAGCCGCGGUAAUACGUAGGGUGCAAGCGUUGUCCGGAAUUAUUGGGCGUAAAGAGCUCGUAGGCGGUUUGUCGCGUCUGCUGUGAAAACGCGAGGCUCAACCUCGCGCCUGCAGUGGGUACGGGCAGACUAGAGUGUGGUAGGGGAGAUUGGAAUUCCUGGUGUAGCGGUGGAAUGCGCAGAUAUCAGGAGGAACACCGAUGGCGAAGGCAGAUCUCUGGGCCAUUACUGACGCUGAGGAGCGAAAGCGUGGGGGAGCGAACAGGAUUAGAUACCCUGGUAGUCCACGCCGUAAACGUUGGGGAACUAGAUGUGGGGUCCAUUCCACGGGAUUCCGUGUCGCAGCUAACGCAUUAA